GGGCAAAGACAUAGCAAUAGUAAUAAUAGUAAUUACACUGGACCCAGGCUCCAGCUACAGAUUGCCUUGUUUUCUAUCGUGAUUUUAUUUAAACGUGAUUCUUAUGUUUAACACUGAAUGUUUAUUCAUAAACAGUGUACAUUCAUAAGCCUACAGUGCAAAAAGUACCCCGAAAGUUUAGGCCACAUUCUCGAUACACCAGCACUGCAGUGGGCCGUGUAUCCACUAUCAUUAAACUCACGAAAUAUAUUCCAAAACAUUAUUAAUAUAUGAAAAGCAUUUACCAGAGAACGUGCCCCUCGUAUCCGAAGCCACCCUCCUGAUUUCUGUGAAAAGAUAGACAGGAACAUGGGCAGGAUGUUUAUACAGCAAAAUGUAAACAUUUUCCCUGGCCUUCUUUAAAUAAAAAAUCAAGCAAAAGCCCCGUUAGAUCAGCUAAUACUCAAUCUGACGCGAUAUGCCAGUCUGUUCGCAGAGUCUUCUGUAGAUGCUGGACGUUUUUACACAUGAAUAUUGUUUGUGUAAUGCAGUCAUAAUAUUUACGCAGGGACGCGGGAGGAGUGAGGUGGAAAGUCUGCCGAACUGUGAGCACAGAAACUCGGACGGGGGACUUGAGAUCGACUCCUCCAGCUCAGCUCAGCAUCGAAUGAUCCUGGGACUGAAGUAAGGCGAGAGUGGGCAGGCGUGUGGCUUUGGCCACAGGAAGCUGUGAAUUCUUUGGAGAAUGGAAGAUGUCUUACAGGGAGACAUGCUGGCCCCCCACCCACCCACUCACCACCCCAAAGUGACCCCUGACCCUUUCAUGUGUUUAUAUCAGACCGUGGAAGUGAGAAAUAGUGAUGAGUCACUCUGCCUGUGUGUUUACACUCCGGAGUCACGCAAGGAAGGAAAUCAGCCACGGUCUGCUAAAAGUGGCGAGGUGAGAGAGAAUGGCUGUAGUCCCCCAGUAGUGCAGUGAUUUACCUCUUAGAGCCAGAAUUUAUUUCACGUCAUCUCCGCCGCGAAAACGUUCAACCAACAGUAAACAGCACCUUAAGCUGCACAGUAGGCCGUUGUCGAGGAAAAGGCAACGGCAAGGGCCAAAACAAAUUUUCGCCACAGGGAAUAGGUGUGUUUGUAUGCGUGUCCACCGCCACCACACUUAUUAUUUCAGGAGAUAAAACUGGUACAGUAAGGAGAAAAAUGUAUCCAGCAGAUCCUAUGUAAUAAAUUAAGACACAUAUCAGAGCGUCACACAGUGUGGGUCCCUUUUAGUUGCCGUUAACUCACACGUCACUAUUGUAAAAUAAAAUACAUUUUUUUUAAAUUUAUGUUUCUUGAAAAAAAAAACUGCUUAGAGUUUGACUUUACUUCACUGUGCAAUUUGGCCUCAAUUUAAAACAAAAUUUUUUUUUUUUGCUACUAUAAAGUACUGCUCAGUCAAAUCAGCUUUUCACCCAUCACGACUAAUAUACUAAAUGUCAAAAGGAGCAACAAAACAAAAAUUGAAACAGAAAAGUGUAGCGCUGAUGGAAUAUACAUAUUCCAAGCUUGUUAUUUUUUCUCUGUGAUCAUCAAUAAAUACCAUUUUUACAUUCUGAAGAUCAAAAGUGUUCGUCCCAGGUCCACAGACUUAUAUGCAGACUUUUUCUAAUCAGGCACUUCAUAUUCUAUUUAAGGGCUGAGUGGAUUUUACAAAACCAAUAAAGUCUAGAGACUGCAGUAACAUAUGUGCAUAUAAAUUAUUUUAUAAAAAAUAAACACACAUUUGUAGAGCUCCUGAAAUCCCUCUUUGUUUUCCACACAUGAAUAUGAAAGAGGCAGACAUGGCCCAGUUUUUGACUUUUUGAAUUUUUCAGCAUCUUUCACGUCACACAAGACGGCAUCAAUUUAUAUGUCAGUUAAUCACUUUUGCAGGUUGCUGUAUUCUCUGGGGCCUCACAAAUGUAAUAUUAGAUUGAGAAUUUGUUUAUUGAAUUAUAAAAUGUUUUUAUGACACAUUAUAUGAAUGAACGAUCUUGAUGAUCACUGCUGUCCGUACCACACUGGAUACGCAUCGCUUUAUGUCCGAUGCACUGACGGCUCUGUUUACUGUGGCGUCCACCAGUGUCUCAAACAUAGUGCCAUUGUUGUUCUCUGUGCUGAGUGACAUUAGGUUGCACAACCGUUGUUUUCAAGACACAGCUGUAGUUACUGCAGUUGCGCACUGUAAAUAAAAGAGACAUUUUAUUUCUUUCCGUCACUGCAUUGGCGCAAGUCGUUUCGUUGCUGACUGUAGCUGGUAUCCUUUUACACUCCCCCAUACACACCGCCACAAUGAGAGAGUCAGCAGCUCUUAUUUUGGACGAUCUCUCCUGAAUUGCAAGUCCUGUCAGGGGCUUUGAUUUAUAGUUGCAUUUAUCACCAUAUUAUUAAGUAAUCAGGCUCACCACAGCUCAGCCUGAAGCUCCUUAAUUCCAGCUAAAUGACACAGCUUCAUGCUAAUUAAAGGUUUGGUAAACGUGCUUAUUUUUGUGAAUUUUUAAAAUAUAUUGUCUGUUUUUUUUUCAUGUGUGCUAAGUGUGCUGAUUGUUGCAUUUGUAUCCUGUAUGGAACAUUUAGCGCCAACCUUUAGCUUUUUUGUUUUGUUUUGUUUUUUUGUUUUUUUUAUCUUCAAUAGAACGAUGUGAACAGGAGAGUGAAACUCAUGCUGCUAUCCUGCACGUAGGGUGUAAACAUCUUGCCUUUCAUCACAUAAGAAUAUGCUCUACGGGAAAAUCUGCAAAAUCACAAUUAAGUUACAACAAGAAAAUACUGUAUAUAACACAAGAGGGUCGAUCAGUCUAUGUUCUGUGCAUCAGACGAGCUUUCUUCUCGCUUCGUUAAUAGAGCCUGCGGCAGGCUGCGUUUGUGUAUUUCUGUGGUAAACACAGUCACGGCAAAGUGGACACGCUGCUGAGUGUGUCCUGACUGGAGACAGAGAGCACUGUGGCACUGUACUCACUGAGACACUGGCAGCUCUCUAGAGGUAGGGUUAAUGUGAUGAAUGGCCAUUUGGUAAUGGGCCAUGUAUUAGGGUGAAAUAGCUCUUUUAAAAGCCAGCGUUUGAGCCGUUGCUAUGGGCAAUUUGAUACAGGAAUCAGUCCAGUGGCAGGUGUUUCAUGUUGUAUCCGUCAACUCUGUCCUGCUCUCUGUUUCAACCAAAUGAAGGAAGAAUUGCUUGAAUGACUGUGUGUAGCAAUCAGCAUCUAACUUCAAUCAGGCCGAAACACAAGCGACGCUAUAUCCUGUUAAAAAAAAAAAAAAGUUCAGUGAUCAACCUUCAAGACGAGAAAUGUUAUUUUAUUUAUUUUUUUGUUGAACAUUAAAGGUUCUUGUAGCUUGCAGAUCAUAUACACUUCCUGUUUAAAGAUGUGUUUUCAACCCGUGUAGAUUUUUAAUCCACAAAGUGAACAUACAUGCUGUGUAAAGAGGACAGUCAUAUCUCAAGGGUUUAAAUGUGUAAUGUAAGGACACGGGUGUUUAGUGCAAUAAUUGUCCCGAUGUUUCCUACUACUGUGAUUAGCAGGAAUGUCCUCCAUUGUAAUAAAUAAAUAAAUAAAUAAAUAAAUGAAAUAAACAUUCCCAUGUGCACUAAUACAUGAACAAAUGCAUCCACAAUAAAACAUAAACUUAUAACUUCCGUUUCUGAUGUAUUUUAAAUAGCUGCUAAUUUUGCCAUUUUAUUUUUGGAUUAGGUUUUUGGGUUCACAUUUUUCAUCAAUAAACCUUCACUUGUGCAAAUUAAAA